rnacentral:lncRNA from 1 species
UUUCUUGUUUUGUAAUCUGAUGCGUGAAAUGUUCGUUGGUGAUAAAAUACGAGAAUCAACCGAGUGAAUCAGGCUUCUGGUGACAUGCAUAAGAUGCUUAUUAAAAGUGCAUUUGAGAUAGUAAAUGAAGUUGCAGCUUUGAUAGUCACCAUGGGAGGACAAAAGUCCGGGCUUAGUUGCUGAUUUUAGGGAGAAACGCAGCUGCUGAGGCUGGUCACAAUGGACAAGAACAUAAACUAGUAACUUACACACUUCCCUAGACUAUGUUACUACCUCCAUAGUGGGUAGGAACAUCUAUGUAGUGUCAUGCAACGAUGUAUUUAUUAGGUUAUAGACUCAUUGUUUCUUGGAGUGUGUGAUGUUUCGGUAACUUAUCUAGUUACCACAAGCACCUCUCUCUUCAUUAAAUACGUGCCACAUAAGCAAAGUUGUAUUGGAGUGUGUGAUGUUACUCCUAAGUUCCUCCCCACCGUGACCAGCCUGAAUAACUUACUGGAUCUAC